GGAGAGGUGUCCGAGCGGUUGAAGGAGGCGGUCUUGAAAACCGUUGAGCCGAAAGGUUCCGGGGGUUCGAAUCCCCCCUUCUCCG
rnacentral:tRNA from 1 species